CUAAAGAGGAGAAUAACUAAAAUUAAACGAGAAGGAAUAUUACCAAGGAAAUCAUAAGCCUUCUGUUAGGCAGAGCUGGGCCACAGGACGUUGCACUGAACCACCAGUAAAUUACAAAAAAUGAAAGAUAAACAAAUCCAAACCAGAGAGAGAGCUCAUCAUUUACUCGGCAAGGAGAGACAACCUAUUGUCACAGCUUCUUCUUAUACUGGAAACCCUGACACAAAAUGCUUACUCAGGCUAGAAAAGUCAGGAGCAGUUUGGGCAGAUAGAGAUGGGUGGAACAAUGCACGGGGAUGCCAUGGCAACAAGCCCACCAAAGGCAACAAACACCUCUUCGCAGUGCUCCUGCUCUUGCAAGGUUCUACAAGGGAAGAGUAUUGACCAAAAGCCGCCUUUGCCGCUGCUGCAAGUGGCAGACAGGCUACAAAGCAUGAGGUACAACAGGUGUCUCCGCACAGAGACUUUCAGAAAGCCCUACAGUUGGCCAUGUCUGGCUUUGGGACAGAAGACUCAUCUGCCCAACAAAGCGUGGAGAGAGUGAUCCCCCAGCCUGUGCCAGCCCCAGCCUUCCCCCUGAAAGAGACUGCUUCUGACAGUGGCGGCACCACUCCGACUUUUGGCACACUGCAGGACAACACCAAUGAGCUGUGCUUAUGCUAUCAAACUAUUCAAGCUCUGCAGAUUCAGCCAGGCAGGCUGGGAUCCUGAAUGGAAGCAGUGAAAAGAAACCAAUGACUGUUGCUCUGGAAGAUGCCAUCGCAAAACCAAAUGGCAACGGCAGAUGCAACUUUGCUAGUCAGGAAAAUAACCAGGCUCACUUCCUUGAAACCCCAGGGAGAAAAGAUCGCUCCAAAGAGAAAUGAUCUUCAAAGAGACGUUCCGUAUACAAAAAAGCAGAAGAUUUGCCCCAAAAUGUAUCAGCCAACAUUCAUGUCCACCUCUGGACAGGAAGCAUAAACAAUACGGUGAGAGACUGCAAAAUGAUGGCAGCCAAGGUGAGAACUCUGCAGACAAAUUGCAGGAGGAAUUUAUACCAAAGGCAAACAAGAGGUGCAGAGGCUUGCCCGUAUUCCCACUAUCUCUGCACACAAAAAGCAUUUCAGCCACCAAUGCAAAUGGGAGAAAACAGGCUCAGCCCAGCUCUGCUCCAGUCCUCAGUGUGAAACAAUAUGUUUGGAAAUGCAGGGGAGAAGAAAGAGAUCAUUUCUGACAAUGGAUGACCCCUUUGACAUUGAAAACACCCAAGCUACAGUCGUGGUACCAAGGAA
rnacentral:lncRNA from 1 species